GAGCCCCUGGUAUCUUUCUUCUUAGAUCGGUUGAACCUGCAUUGACUGUUUCCAUGUCUCUGGCACUGCCAGUUUUCCAGGUCCUUCAGACCAUAUCUGUGCCCCAGGAUGUCCUAACCUUGUUGUCUGCUGCAGCCCCUCCCAGCUUUGGUCAGCCUGGCCUCUUACAGUUUUCUAGAUGGGACUCCAUUCAUCUCUUCCCAGCCCUGUGACCUAGAACGCAACCGCUAACUCCCCACUAGGAGCCCAGCCUAGAGAACGGAUCAAGGACGAAGGGCGCGCCGGGGUCUCAG